CUUCCGCCCUCCCCGCACAGGAGAGCGGAUCGAGGCAUCCGCGCUCUCUGCCCUGACCGCGCGGGCGCCUCUCCCGGCCGACGGCACCGCACACCGCCGGCCGAGCGGGCCGUCCGGUGGACGGUCACAUUCCGGGCUGCGGUGCCGGACGGGCCGAGGGUCCCGUCCUGGCGC
rnacentral:ncRNA from 1 species